GAUUCAGCGUGAGCUGGUAUCUGCACUGGAAUCGGGUCACAGGGAGUGCAGAGAUCAAGCCCUAUUUGUUCCAGAGGAAGGAAGCACAGAAAGAUUGUGGGUUGCAGCUGAUUGCUGAGCAAAUGAUCCUAUUGUCACAGGACCUGGAGUGAAGCAUUUGGCAAGAAGUGUCCUGGGGGAACACCCAGUCAGCAACACAGUACCCCGUACCAUGUCAGAUGUCUCUCUUGAGCUCUUGGGGCUGCCUGGGAGCUGAGGUUCACUGCUGCACCUGAGGGAGGAUCUGCCACAUCUCUGUAGCCCUGGAACAGUCCAAAUUCAAAAUUAGAGUUCACCAACACUUCUUCUUACAAUUUGACUUAUCUGAGGAAUUCAGUACACACACCAACUGAAGAGCCACAACUGGGGAGACUGGGAGGAGGUACAGAAGAGAGAAUUUGGAGUUUCAGAAGAUGACCUAUCAGAACUUCUGCUCAGGAUAUAAGUGUUGCCAGCUUUUAGAGAAUCUGAGAGGAGUUCUAAGUACAAUUCUAUCUGGAGAACCAUCAAACGGUCCAGAGGUUGACGGCACAAUCUCCGCAGAUCCAAAAUAAAUGGACAGAGUCCAGAGGCAUUAAAUUUAUGAUCAGUUGAUAUUCAGAAACCAAAGAAUGUGGAAAUGAGUAAAAUUGGGUGACCUUCAAAAAGGAAGGAAGGACUUCAUUUGGUUCCCCAGAAGGGCGCUGAUUGAAGGAGACGAUGUUUCCAGUUUUAUCAUGCCUGCUGACUCAAGCCUAGCCAAAUAUGAUGGCAUUGAAAAGACCGCAGCACAGCAAUAUUAUGAUAAAGAAGUCAGGUGACAUUUUCCAUCACUGUGUUGUGCAAUGCUGUAAGACUAACUAUUCCAAGAUUGCACAGAAAAUGAGAAAUUCCCAUGGAAACUCUGUCCUGGCAAUUCAAAAGGCCGUACAGCACUGAGUGAAAAAAGAGUUUUUGCAUUUAAACAAUACAUCAGGAUUGAGGAGGAUUGGUGAACCUGGGCAUCAGAGAAUCAUAAAAUGCAUAUGGCGGCCUUGUCUGUGAAUACAGUUCCUAUAAACACAAGAUAUAAUAACACGUCUUUACAAAGCUGACCUACUGAACACCUGCACGUGUUUCUAAUUUAUGUGGAAUUGUUCUCUCAGUAGAUUCCAUUUUCCCUUAAAAAACACACAUGUACAAACACAAAACUUGAUUUAAAUGAAACAGACACCUUAAGAAUCUUAACAAGUAGAGUUGACCUUUGAACAUAAUUCUACAAAACUGUACUGUGCUCCCCAAGUGUUGCCAGGAGGCCUCAGACAGAUCGAUGGAUGACAACCCCCAUCCUGUACUUCUGUAAGCUCAGAUAUUAGAUCCAGAGGGGAACAAAUUCCAUGAGACCCAGAGGCAGGGGCAACUUGGCCCAAAUCAAGUGGUGCUUCUUCUGCUGUGCCAGGCUACAAUCAAGAGUUCUUCCUUCUGCCUGGAAACUAGUAUUGGCGUAUUUCCUCUUACUUGACAGUAGCAAGGCCUUGUAAUAGUGAGUCAAGGAGAAUUUCCCUGCUGUGAAACCAGAACAUCCAUACAUUUGAGGGACAUACUUAGUCACAUGCAUGUAUGUUCUGAUUAGUCAAGAGUUUGGGUUUGUUGCAAUGUAAUGGAUAGAUUUUAGGAAAUGAAGUAACAGAGCAAAACCCAGCUAUCUGAGGGCUAUUUAACACUUUGCUGAGGACACGUGGGGAUUUUGAAAUGACUUGUACCAUCCUUUGACCAUCAUUUCUCAGAUAUUGACCAAGGACAAAAGUGCUCUGUAAGGGGCACCAUUCAUCCAACAUUAGCAGAUACACAGAGAAAGAAGCAGG